rnacentral:rRNA from 1 species
AAGCCAUGCAUGUCUAAGUAUAAGCAAUUAUACGGCGAAACUGCGAAUGGCUCAUUAAAUCAGUUAUCGUUUACUUGAUAGACCCAUACUACUUGGAUAACCGUGGUAUUUCUAGAGCUAAUACAUGCGAAAAACCGCGACUUCGGAAGCGGUGUAUUUAUUAGAUUAAAGACCAAUGCCCUUCGGGGCUGACUGGUGAUUCAUGAUAACUUCACGAAUCGCACGGCCUUGCGCCGGCGAUGGCUCAUUCAAAUUUCUGCCCUAUCAACUUUCGACUUUAGUGUAGUGGACUAAAGUGGUUGCAACGGGUAACGGAGGGUUAGGGCUCGACCCCGGAGAAGGAGCCUGAGAGACGGCUACUACAUCCAAGGAAGGCAGCAGGCGCGCAAAUUACCCAAUCCCGACCCGGGGAGGUAGUGACAAUAGAUACUGAUACAGGGCUCUUUUGGGUCUUGUAAUUGGAAUGAGUACAAUUUAAAUCUCUUAACGAGGAACAAUUGGAGGGCAAGUCUGGUGCCAGCAGCCGCGGUAAUUCCAGCUCCAAUAGCGUAUAUUAAAGUUGUUGUGGUUAAAAAGCUCGUAGUUGAACCUGGGCCUCGCGCAGACCGGUCCGCCUCACCGCGUGCACUGGUCCUGCCGGGGCUUUCACUAGGGGAUUCGCAUGUCCUUCACUGGGCGUGUGCGGAACCUGCACUUUUACUGUGAAAAAAUUAGAGUGUUCAAAGCAGGCCUAUGCAAAUACAUUAGCAUGGAAUAAUAGAAUAGGACGUGUGGUUCUAUUUUGUUGGUUAUGGGACCGCCGUAAUGAUUAAUAGGGACAGUCGGGGGCAUCGGUAUUCAAUAGUCAGAGGUAAAAUUCUUGGAUUUAUUGAAGACUAACUACUGCGAAAGCAUUUGCCAAGGAUGUUUUCAUUAAUCAGGAACGAAAGUUAGGGGAUCGAAGACGAUCAGAUACCGCCGUAGUCUUAACCAUAAACUAUGCCGACUAGGGAUCGGGCGAUGUUAUUUUUUGACUCGCUCGGCACCUUACGAGAAAUCAAAGUCUGUGGGUUCCUGGGGGAGUAUGGUGGCAACGCUGAAACUUAAAGAAAUUGACGGAAGGGCACCACCAGGAGUGGAGCCUGCGGCUUAAUUUGACCCAACACGGGGAAACUCACCAGGUCCAGACACAAUGAGGAUUGACAGAUUGAGAGCUCUUUCUUGAUUUUGUGGGUGGUGGUGCAUGGCCGUUCUUAGUUGGUGGAGUGAUUUGUCUGCUUAAUUGCGAUAACGAACGAGACCUUAACCUGCUAAAUAGCCCGCGUUGCUCCUGCAGCGCGCCGGCUUCUUAGAGGGACUAUCGGCUCAAGCCGAUGGAAGUUUG